GUACCAUUUUACAUUCCCACCAGCAGUGUAUGAGCGUUCCAGAUUCUCCACACCCUCACCAAUACUCUGUGAUUCUUGUUUUAAUAAUAGCCGUCCUACUGGCUGUGUAGCGGUAUCUCCUAGUGGUUUUAAUUUGCAUAUUUCUAAUGACUGAAGAUGUGGAACACCAUCUAGUCCAGAGGUUCUUAAUCAAUUCUAGCUAAUGAAUUCCUUUGAGGUACUGAUGAAAACUAUGGACUCUCUAUGCCCAUAUGCAGAAAAUUUCUUGCAACUCACGGGUGGAUGGAUAUAAAGAUAUUCUUCAACUGAAAGUAACCUCUCAUAGAUGUAUGGCACUUUACAGUUUUAGUUUAUAAAACAUUUUUACGGACUCUGUCUUUUUUAUUCUUCACAACUACUCUAUGAAGUAAGAAGCUGAUGUUAUCCCCAUUUUCUAGAGGAAGAAACUGAGUUUUAAUGAGAUGUCUUAAGAUUACAUAGACAGAGAUAGAACUUAGGCACUGGUUUUUGGCUCUGUCUUCCACACUACUUCUCUCGCAUGUCUGGCUUCCUGGGCCACUGCAACUUGGGAGAUUGCUGGCUCCUAGAGUCAGCAGUUGAAGGCUGUAAUAGCCAACAUUUUAGGAGACAGAGUAUUUCCUGAAGCCACCAGCUUUCCUGGAAUAGAGGCAGAAAUCCAGAAUUUUGAUCUGUUUUAGUAAAUAUAAGGAAGGUAGCACAUCUUAUAAUAAUUGUAUAUGACCAAUAAUAUGACAUUAGAAAUCAGAAGAGUAUAUUUUUAUUUGCUUUAAUAAGGAUAAAGACUUUGCAUGCCUAUAAAGAGUGGCUUAUUAUUUAUAUCAUUUUCCCAGGAGCGUCUUAAACUACAAAAGAAAUGGGGAAACAUAAAUAAAGCCUGGGGAUUUUAUUCUAUUGGCAAGUGACAGAUGUAUUCAUUUGCUAAGAGCAAGUACAUGCUGGAUCUGCUUUCCUUUGGGCCUGUUAUGCAGAUAAGAUGAUAUAAUAUGUUGGUCUCUCAGUAUCAGCAUUAUUAGGUCACUCUGGAACUACCAGUGUUCUCCCACAUUCUUUGCUAUAGGAGAAUACAAAGGAGUACACGCAUAUGGCAUAUGACACACAACCAAGAAUAGUGCUUGAAGUCCCUUAUGAGGCUCUUUGCCCUCUGCUCAAGUUACAGCUGUGUGAGAAGAAUGAAUGAUUGGUGAAUGGACUAGAUUAAAAACGAGGGCUACUGUCUCUUACAUGUCCUCUAUCAUGGCCCAGAUUCCAUUUUUACUCAUCUCAGCUGCUGCCUCAUUGCCCGUGAUUAUGAGCCUGCUGUGGUCCUGGGAGCAGCUGUGAGAAAACCAUGGCUGCAGAGCCUGUGGAGCAGGUGUGGGUGCUCUUGCAGCUGUGCUUACUCAUCUUACUCUUUUUCCUCGGUUUCACGAGCCCAAGCACCAUAAAGCUCCACUCUCGUGGAGAUGCAGGGAUUGGAAAAGGUUCUCCAUUCAGUCUAAUCCUAAUGCUGCUUGGACUGUGGCUCCAUAUUCGCCAAUGAAAUGUUUUCUAGAGAUAAAGGACAACCAGAAUCCCUUUUCUAUCUUACUGCCAUGCCCUGGGGUUUUCACUCUUCCCCUAAGCAAAACUCAAUCCCUCAGUUUGGCAAUAAUUCUUAAAUGGGUUUUAUUUGAUUCUUUCCAUUUGGCUCUGCCAAAAGUCUCACUUAUGUCGCUGCUAGAAACAAUAAGAUUUCUUUAAGACUCUGGCUUCCCCACGACUUUAUAUUCUCCUGGAAAGUCAUGGAAAGGCUCUAGCUCCAAUUUUCUAUUCCUGAGCCAACUCAGAGAUCCAGCUGCUUCAUGUGUGCAGGAUUGAUUAAAAUAGCAGGGAUGCUGAAGGGAUUUACCAAGGAAUUGUUUAGUGAGGUCCAGAAGCUAUCGACAGAGAAUAAAGGAACUUGGGCUAUUUAUGCCAGACGGCCUUGGAUAAUGUUGACAUUGCCUAGCAUGAAAAUAAGGUUUCUAUAGCAAUAAUACCAAAGGUCAGAGUGUUCAGAAAAGGGAAAUAGUACACAAUAAUAAUGACUAAAACCCAACCCAGGGUGAAUCCACUUCUAAAUUAAAUUAUUUCUAUAAAGAAAAAUACAGACAAGGACAUUUGUGCCCGUCUAAAACUUGGGCUCUCUGGUAAAGUAAAAUUACCUGCAGAUAUUCAUGAGUUCCUUGCUUUGGUCAAAAUUUUGGUUUGAACAUGCUAGAAAUUUUCUAUUGCUAUUGCUAGGCUCCUUUGUCUAAGAGAAGAGAAAAGGCUGGGACACUAUACCAACAGGUUUUAUUUUAUCCGAAGGCACAACUAUGAAACUUCACAAACUAAGAAGGAGGAAAAAGCCAUCCUUAGCAAUGAAAAAGAGCUAAUUCUCAGUGGGGAAAACAGAGCCAAGAUAAAUUUAGAAGGAAAGAAAGCAUGUCCUAAAGCAACUUACCACAUGAAAGGGUACAUGAAAUACACAUCUAGAGUGCUAUAUUUAAAGCUAGCAAGUUGAAGCAAAAAUGAAGAAUGAGUGUCUCUUGGAGCUGUAUUAAUGAUGCCGAGAGCCCUUUAUCUCUAGGCAGCAGUUUGGAGGCACCCUCUCCCCACUGGUGACUGAAAACCACCACUCGUUGAUAGCUAUGAGAUGAUGAACUCUGUCCCCAUCCUAGCUGGUAGGAUCACAAAGCAGCAAAGCCUGCAAAGGCAAGAAGGAGGAGAAGACACAAGAGUGUUUUCACUGUCGUGACCUUUGCUGUCAUUGUCCUGUGAUUAAAUAGAAGACUUAAGAUUAUUACAUACAUGCAUGUAUUUGUUUAUUUAUGCUUUCCUUUUUUCUCUCCAGGUAGGCAAGAAAGGAUGGACAAAGAACAGAGAAUAGAAAAAAUUGAGAUGAUGACAAUUUCAUUGGCCCCAAAGUUGCAGCACCUCUCUAGUCUGCCCCUGCUUUUGAAACGCUGCCUGGCUUACUUGUGACAUCAGCAGAGAAUUACAGGCUGCAUGGACAAGGGGAAGGACUUAAUUUCUUGGAAUCUCAGUGUCCGCACUUGUAAAAUGGGGUAACAGCGCCUGUCUUUGUGAGGAUGAGAAGAGAUCAUCUGUGCAAAGUGUUUGGCACACAACAGCUGUACAAUGAAGGUCCCUUCUUUCCCAGAUCUGGGGUCCACUUUCAGUUUAGGUGCAAAUGAAGCAUCGCUAAACUCAGGGAAGCUGGGUAAGAAAAUCUCCUGCUCCAGACCCAGCGAUGGGUGUAACUGGCAGGGGGGCUAGGCUGGGCUGGGCCAGGCUAGGGCUGCGAUGGAGGGAGAAGGCAGAGAGGGGAGGAAGUCUGGGCAACAUCACUGUCGCAUCUUGGAAGGCAGUUGUGAUGAUCUCAGUGGUUGGCUCCUGUGCCUGGAUUCCAGUCAUUCAGGUGACAGAGCUCAUUUAAUCCUCUCUACCAUUUGCACAGAGAUUUGGAGGGUUCAGUGCUUGCCUCUGGUUACACUUGGACUGAGAAUCUCUCACAGCCACAGGUGGAGGCUGACUGCUGCUGAGAACCAGGCUCUUAGCACUGGCUCUCCAUCCUUCUGUGAUCACAUCCUGAGAGACUGCCUUCCAACUGUUGCCAAACCCUGCCCCUGCUGCAUUCACAUCCUAGGUUUUAAAGAAUUUCCCUCUCCUUACACCCACUCUCCCACCCUUCCCUCCACUAACGCUUAUGGAGUGUAUCUGUACCUUCUGCCAAACAUUGUCUUGGGCACGAAGGCCCUACACGGCUUUAGCCUCAGACUGAUUUCUUGGUCUCCAGCUUCUCUCAUUCUUGACAACAAUUCCUCAGUCCCUUUUCUGGUCAUGUUCUUAGGCCCCUGGAAUUUUCUAAACCCAGUGUGUCCAUUAUUACUCAUGGUCCUUUGCCUGGCCCGUUCUGCCCCCGGCUCUGACUCUCAUUAUGAAAGGAGUGACCCGGUUGUCAGUGGAUUCAGAUGUUUGUCUACACACAACAAUGGCCUACUCAGCAUUUCUGAGUAGAGGAAGAGUGGCUCUCUUUCUCUAAUCUUUUUGCAGAUCCCUCACUUUUUCACUCUUGAAAAAUUGGGAUGUGUUAUGAAUUUAAUGUUUUUGUUCCCUCCAAAUUCGUAUGUUGAGAUCUUAACCCUCAAUGUGAUGGUACUAAGAGGUGGGGCCCUUGGGAGGUGAUUAGGUCAUGAGGGCAGAGCCUUCAUGAAUGGGAUUAGUGCUCUUAUAAAAGAGACUCCAGACAGCUCCAUUGUGCCUUCUGCUUCAUGAGGACACAUAGAAAAGACAGCCAUCUAUGAACCAGGAUGCAGAUCUGCACCAGACGCUGAAUCUGCUGGAGCCUUGAUCUUGGACUUUCAGUCUCCAGAACUGUGAGAAAUAAAUGUUUGUGAUUUAAGCCACCAAGUCCAUGGUAUUUUUGUUACGCAACCUGAAUGGACUAAGGCAGAGUGAGAACCUGGAGUAAGAAUUCUGUUUUUCCUUUGAAAUAGCUCACCCCACACUUCUAUUUCAUUCCUACUGACACACUUUUGUCCAAGGCCUUGGCAUCUCCUGCCCAUAUCACUGCAGCAGCCUCUUGGCUGAGCUUCUUGAUGCCAGUGCAAUCUUGACAAUGUAACCCAAACCAUCUGAUAUCGCCCACCCAAGGUUUGCAUCCAUGGCACUGCCCAUGGUGCCAACUGCCAAUUUAUUGCCUCUCAGUUCCUAAUGCGUCCUUUAUUGCCUGAUUUUGAAAAUGGAUCUGGGACUUUCAAAUAUUUUUCGUUUGCCAGUACAAAGCACUGGAGAGAUGUUGCAGGAGGAAGGGUUCUUCUUCCUGAUUGCUGUGGAUAGUUCCAAAGGAGCCUGGAGGCUGAUGUAUUUUUCUCAGCUCCCCAGCCCUAGAGGUUUCGUCCAGUGCUGGUAGGAUGCAGCUUCCCUGAAGGUCCUCCAGCUCUCAAUUUGGGCAGUGGUGGCAUAGUGAGGAGGCUCAGAUGUGAGGCCUGUGCUCCAGCCCAGGUUUCUGCUCUGCAUACCCUUGCCUCAGCCUUGUAGGGUUAGACAUUUGGGAAACUGGCCCCCUGCUCCCCACCAGGCCUAAGAGGUAUCCCAAAAUACAUUAGGUUCUUACCGAGGUAGGCUUUUCCGGCAACCAGUUCCAGCAGCAUGCACAGUGGCACCCCAGCACCCUCUAUGCACCUGACUCCCUUGUGUACCCAAGCAUCAGCCUUGGCUUGCCUACAUUGUGGACAUUGGCUUCUGCAGAUGUUCCAGUGCAGAGCCUGUGCUCUCUGGGCCUUCCGCUUGCAGCAGCACCCUGACACCCUCAGUACUCUUGACUCAAUGAUACCUGUCCAGCAGCCUUGGCUCACCUGAGCCCCAGCCGGUUGUUUCUGUUUAUCCAGAGACUGUGGACCAGCUCUGGCCCAGGCAACCCAGCAAAAUCCUCCAUCAUCCAGUGCCUGCAACUAAUCUUCUCCAGUGAUGUCUGAACCUCUACUUUCAAAUUUGUGCUUCCUUGGUACUCUCUCUCUUUGCCUUAAAAUACCUUUUAGAGUUUUUUUCUUAUCUUUAUAAUUACUUUCCUAUCGUUGGUUAAUAGCUCUUUAUAUUAAACUUCCUCUGUUUAAAUUAUUGUGUAUAAUGGUCAACUUUAUGUGUCAAUUUGGCUAGGCUAUGGUGCCUAGAUGUUUGGUCAAACACCAUUCUAGAUGUUUCUGUGAAGAGAUUUUUCAGAUGUGAUCAACAUUUAAAUCUGUAUACUUCGAGUAAAGUAGAUUCUCCGUAAUGUGGGUGGGCCUCAUCCAAUCAGUUGAAGAUCUCAAAAGAAAAAGCCUGAGGUCUUCCAGAGGAAGAAGGGAUUCUGCCUCCAGAGCCCAGCCGCAACAUUACCUGUCCCCUGGGUCUUCAGCCAGCAGGUCUGUCCUGCAGGAUUUGGACUUGCCAGCCACCACAGUUGUGUGAGCCAACUCCUUACAAUCUCUCUCUGUAUAUAUAACAUCCUGUUGGUUCUGUUUUCUCUAGAGAAUCCUGAGUAAUGCACUGUGUGAUUUCUAUCUCCCAAAUGGGCCCAGACUGAUAGCCUCAUGAACACGCCAAAAUAUCCAAUGAAGGCUCUUCUGCUGAUUCCCAAUCCGCUCUAUAACCUGGCCCCACCAUUUCUAUCAAAUUUCAUUAAUAAUCCUCAGUGUCCCAGGUACAUACCACUCAUUCUUUCUCUGCCUCUGCUCAAGUUUCCCUCACAGUUCAUGCCAUCCCAUCUCUUCUCCUCCCAUUCAUAUUCUAGCCAUCUUUCAAGGUCCAACUCCAAUUCCUCUUCCUCCGUGAAGUCUUCUUUGUCUCUUGUAGCCAUCCCCGUUCUCUCUCUUCUUACAGAGCAUGCAUCUGCCAUGUAAUUGAGUGCUGAACUAUGUAGUACCUCAUUUGGUUCUUUUUUGGUUAAUAUUUAUUGAGAUUGAGUUCUUACUGUGCACCUGGCACUGUGCUGUGCACUUUUAAUCAUGUAAUCAUCUCAUCUGGGAAAUUUUCCAUCAAAUACUCUAUGUAUGAGACUAUGUGUUCCCCUCACAGUGAUCAUAUAAUAAAAAAUUUUUUCCUUUCUCUGAGGAACCAAAUGAGAUUAGCAAAUCAGGACAAGGGUCUAUUGUUCUUAAGUAAGAUGCCAUAAGACCAGGGUACCCCCUUUUCAUAAGAUAAAUAACAGGCAGCUAUACCACGGAAAAGACAUGUAAUAGGUGCCAAAUUCCUGUGAGAAAACUCAUAGUUGCCUGCUGGUGUAAUAUUUCUAGUAAAUAAUAGAGAGAAGCUUUCCCACUGAACCUACUUCCAGUGAGAUAACCCAUUCUAUGAUUCACUGUGAAACCCCAGGGAGGUAAUAAAAGGGGUCAGAACACUUCCCCCUCUUUGUAGUAGUUGCUUUGUCAUGUCCACAGGAUUGACUGGGAGUUUCUAGCAAACCCCUUUCCAUGUAACCUCCAGAAGUCUUCUGAAUGGCUCAGACCUUUGAAAAGGUGAAAAGAAAUUUCACCAGCAUAUUGCUAAAAACAGGUGAUUUCUGAAUGCUCUUUAGCUUUGUCUUGAGUGAUGAACAAAAUGGCAGCAGACUGGCCCUGGUUCUUCACAUUUGAAAGGACUGUCUUAAUGGUCCUUGUUGAUUUUGGCAAGGUUAUAAAAUAAUCUCACUAUGAGGGUUGCAUUAGCCAUAUUCUACAAACAAGUAAAUGGGGGCAAGAAAGGUUAAGUAAUUUGACCAAGGAAAUGCAGCUAACAGGUGGUAAAGCCAGAUGUGAAGCAAGGCUUAUCCAACCACAAUAGGUGACUGUCUCCAUGAAAUGAGACUUAGUUCAUAAAGGCCAGAUUUACUACAUGCCAUGCUCACAUUCAACUUGGGAGGUCAGGGCUGUUAUUAUCCUCAUAUUAUAGUUCAGGAGAAAGGCAUGGAAAAGCUCACUGAAUUUCCCAGGUCCACCCUGGUAGCAGGUUAGUAGAGUUGAGGCCUGGAUCUCAAUCUGUGAGACCCAGAGCUGGUGCUCUUAACCUUGUUCAAUAGUUUAUUUCAUGUGGGUCUUGUCUUAGGGACUCAGGUAGAUGCAAACUCCACCUGAGCAAGGAUUAUGAAUUUUCCCCAGAUAGUACUAAGGAAGUGCUGGAUCCAGACGAAGUCCUCAAUUAAACACCCAAUGAUCAAGGUAGACAACUGUUAAGGAGCCCAUAGUCCUGGUAUCUAGCACUAGUUUCUUGUGGUAUAAGUUUCUGGUGUUUUGUUGUGUUUCUUCACAAAACCUCUCCAGAGACAAAUUUCCUUAGUUCUGUUUUCAGAAAAAUGUCUCUCUCCCUGGAACUGUGUGAAGGGCACUUGUCUGGUGGCUUUGGCCUUCUUUCAGUCCUUGAGGCCCCACCAAGAUAUAAGAUUGGCCCUGGAGGACAUCUACUCAGGACAGACAAUAGCUAGAGCUAAAGGGUGAUCAUGGAGAUAGUGCUGCACGAAGACUGCAUGAAGAUGGUGCUGGAUGCUCUGAACUCUAGUGCCCUGGCCCCGGCUCUGCUGCUUAGGGGGUCCCUCCCUCACUAGCUGUCACCCAGGAGUAGAAGAACACUAUGGGCUACUUAUCUUGAUUCAGGGAAUGACCCUGCAGAGUGCUUCUACCACUGUUUGCCUUUAAUUCAGAGAUCCCAUUAACUACUAGUCCUUCUCCCAUGAUGUGGGCAAAGGAAAAUAACAUAAUGGAAGAAGUAUUCUAAUCACUGACUAGACCAAAGCUUUGGGAUGAUGUAUGGGUUUAAUUGUUACUCUGUCCCACAUUUGCACAGAAGCAGAAGAAUUGACUGGGUAUUAAUUUUCCCUUCAGUGGAAAAACACUUGGAACCUCAAUGCUAAAUGGUAUUUUCCUGUAAAGUGUUUUAAAUCUACAAGCUCUACUUUUAUUCUACUCACACAGAUAAAAAAAAAUGAAACCUGCCUCAGCUCUGUACCUUAGAGAUACUAUUUUUUGGGAUUGGGACUAUGAUUUAUUGGAAAUAUUAUUGAAUAUAACAGCAAUAAGAAUGGCUACCUUUAAUUUUCUGCCUAUUUUGUUCCAAGGAUUGUGCUGGAUGCUUUAUAUAUGUUAGUUUAUUUAAUUCCAACAAUAUCCCUUUAGAAUCUGUGUAGAUCCUUUUUGCCAAUUUGAAUUAUGCAAAUUUGGAAUGGUAUCAUAAAUAUCAGGCACAAAAUCAGAAAUAAGGUGAAUACUCCCAAAUUAAGUAAAAAAUCAGCAAGAACUUCAAAACAUCUGGGCCAAGAGAACUCUGCUCAUUCUGUUGCCACAAGGUAGUCCUCCUUUAGCUGGGAACUACAAGUACCUGCCGUGCUUUGUCAAGAUUAGUCUUGGAUUCCAUCAGUUCUUGGGAACGCAUUCCUCGCACAAAAUGCAAUCAUCUCGUAUUGUAUUCCCAGAGAGCACAGUGCGGUGCAGUGCUAUCCUUGUGCAUAAUGAGCAAUCAGUAAAUGGUCAUUUAGUGGAUUUGAAAUGCUAAAAGGGGAGUGUGGUCACAAACAAGCUGGUUAGUCCUUUGCCUUUGGAACAUGAGCCUUAUCACUCUCCUUUCACCCCUUCCUAGCUCACGGACAAGGUUUGCAUUCCAGGUGAGGUUGCAGGAUAACUUGUGAUGUCCAGCUGAGUACGACUAAGUGGCUUUAAUUCAUCCUCUCAAUCUUGUUCUUGGAUUCCUUUUCUCCCUCUUUCCCUCCUUCCUUCCUUCAGAAAAAUAGCACAUGUGUGAGGGCUUUUUGUACAUUACCUUUUCAAAUAAUUGUAGAUUCACUGGAAGUUGAAAAAAAUAAUGACAGGUCCUAAAUACCCUUCACUCAGUUCCCCCCAAUGAUAACAUUUUACAAAACUAUAGUAGUACAGGUAUUUUUGAAGGGCAGUAGCUAACUGAGUUAAAGUUCCCAGGAAAAAAAUCUAUAUUGAGUUGUAUUUACCUUUUCCCCAGGCCUCAAAACAGGGCAGGUUUAUGGGUGUACCAGCAGUGCCAUCGCACAAAGCCCCACAAGCAGAAGGAUGCAAUCAGCAUCUUGAAAUUCUUAGUGACUUUGUCUUUGAAUGUAAGUUUUGUAAGUGAAGUACGAUGGAACAACGGUGCACGCACCAGGGUCUCGGAGCCUUUGCUCGAAUGUGGCUUCACCUCCCUAUCUCCAUGGGACAGGGCACUGGCCUCUUGCUCUCCUGCUCCUGCCCCGUGACCCCUGCUGUCUUCCCCCGCUGCAGGGUGCUGGGUGCGGGUGCGGGACAGUCAGGUGGGGAGGCAUCUAGUGCUUGUGAGAGUCUGCACUUGCCUGGCAAGCAUCCUCGUGCCUGAGGGAGUCAUUUUGUAUUAAAUAACAAAUGUAAAACCCCAUGACAAGUCCAGACAGAGAUGGGUAAAGAAAGGAAAAAGCUUUUAAACUGCAUUUGGAACAAAGGGCUUGACAUUUUCAUUUUGCCUUGGGCCCCACAAAUUAUAUUGCCAGCCCUACUUAAAACUGCUUUAUAGCCCAGCCUCUUACAAGAAACCUAGGCAUGAAGAUGAAUAUUUAUCAGGAAAUAGGAAGUUUCAACAGAAGCACACAGGAAUGUUUGUUUGUCAAAGGCAAAAAUAGUUCCUGCUAACGUCAGAGAAAUCUUCCUAAAGCACAUUCUUAUCAAGUCAGAGAUGCUUGCAAGCCUGCGGUGCUCCAUGCUCUUGGAGUACACUCCAUAGCCACAGCCUGGCCCCGGGCGCUCCAUAAAUAAUCUACCUGCAUCUGAUCUCUGGAAUUUCAAGUUUCACCAGACCUUGAUUCAAAUCCAUGCUUGUCGCCAACUAAAUGCAGUUCAUGCUUUCCCAGUUCUGUGUCUUUGCCUGUGCCAUUUUAUGUCUGAAAUGCCAUCUCAUCCACUCUUUGAGGCGGAACUAUCACUUCCCUCCUGAAGCUCCCAGCCUGGGCCCAUCUCAUCGCCUUGGCUUUUGUUUCCUCCGCCCAUGUGGUUCCUUCUCUGGGCUUGUACAGCUAGAGCCAUCUGGUCAUUCAGAGAGAAGGUCGCCUCUCCAGAAAGGUCUACCUGGAUACAAGCUCUAAGCCAACUUCUAUCCCAUCUCAUUUCUGUUCCAGUAACUGCAUUUAUCACUUCUUAAAUUAACUUUGCAUAUUCACGUUUUUACCCCUGUAAUGAUCAUCUCUCCCAUGAGAGGAGGAUAUCUCUUGGCUUUCUUCACUUCUGUUCUCCUCAUGCCUUAAACCACGAUCAUGGCCAGACAGAGGAUUUGGAGGCCUAGCAUAUAUUUGUUGAAUAAAGGAAGGGCUCUUUCCCUCCUCCACACACUGGAGCAUAUUGCACAUCAUAUCUUGCUUAUGUGUUUUCUCUCCUCUUCUAUGCUAUUAUCUCCUUGAGCAUACAGAAUGAUUCAUUCUUAUCCCUCACAAUGCUUAGGAGAGACUUAGGCUUCUGUAAGUCUUCACUGAAUGCAUACAUAAACAUUAAUGGUGCAGAGGCAGAGCAUUUCCUUUCUUUUUCAGAACUGGGCACAGCAUUAAGCCAGAGAGAUCAAAACUAAUUGCCAGAACGAGAAGCACACGCCAUUUAGGUUCACUGUGUCUGCACCAAGCACAGCCUUGGAAAAAGUGUGUAAUCAAUUACCAGCACACAGGAGCCAGAGUGACCUCCGUGUUCAUCACAGUGCCAUUCUCUUUAGGCAAUUGGUUGCUUUUGGGGCCUGUGGGAUGAAAAGCUUCCCAAAAUAGAGACCAGGGAGGAGGUCUAGUUCUGAUGGGAGGGAUCAAAGCCAGAGGGCACCUUCUUUAGUAGUGGCGGGCACAUGCAUUAUUCUUUUAGCACAGCACUUUGUUUUUCACUAUCAAUAAAAAUGGAGGUACUCACCCACAGAUCAUUUUGGAGAUCUAGGGGGUGUGAAGAAGUAAGGUAAGGUGUGGCAUUAAUCUAGACAGUGACAUGUUUGGGGCAGAAAUAGGAUCAUUAAAUCAAAAUGAUGCACAUAAAAAAAUAGAAGAGCAAUCUGCUCUGAUUGUCGUGGACAAGGAGAACACGAGGCCUGCUGACCAGCUCAACUGGGUUGAGAUCAGGCUUCUUAAGCUCUAUGAGAAAAGUCUGGUGCUGCAAAAGACCACCAGGUACUGGAGAACAAAGCAAUUAUGCACAAGGCCGAGGAUUUGGAAGCCAGACAGAGGGAGAGAAUAUGCAAUGUUCUGAAACUCAUUUGCACAACUCUUUCUCCUCUUACCCCACAAAAGAGCUCCUCACUGGUGGAUGCUGAGCCUCAGGGCUCCCCACGGGCACCUCCGCUGCUAAUGGGGAAAACGAGGAUGGCUCCCCUCCUCCCUCAACUGUGCAGAACCCCUGUGGUGGGAGCCUCUGUGAUGAGAGGACAAGUGGUUUCACUCCUGGGGAGAGUUAGGGAUUCAGAGAGUGUUUCUGGGAGGGGAGGUGCAGUGUGUGACACACACAGAAAAAUGUAACAACCAUGCAAACUGUGGGAUAAAUGGGAAUUGUGCUGGCGUUCCUGAGACCUGUCUGCUGGGGUCAGAUACCUCCUCAGGAAGCUGAGAUGGGCUGUGGGUGCUAAUGAAGAAAGCAUGAGGAUGUGGAGUGGUGGAGCUGGGGCCCUGGAGGUGAUUUUAGGGAAAUCCUACAGGCAAGGUCCUGGAAGCCUUGGUGGGGUGAAGGCUUAUUUUAGUCUUUUCCCUGGGAAGGAAAUGCCUAUUCUGUGAUACGACAGCAUUGCUGGUCUCCUGUGGUCUUCAGUCUUCAAGCUGGCAUUUUAGACAUCUCUCGAUUGCAGUGAGAGGACUAUGGGCAGAGGCCACAGCCUGACAGCUUGCCUGUAGGAAUGUCUCAUCGUAAUCAGCCAGGUGGGGCCCGGGCCUGUAGGUGGCAUGAAGGAGUGGAGAAUGAUGCCCAGAGAGGCCUGACAAAUGGUACUGGGGUGAAAAAGCCAUGACUUUCCUUCUCUUUUCCAAUAUGAAGAAAAUCAUUCUCACUUUUCGUGAAGAGGAAAUUCUGUGGAGCCUAGAAUUAGACCACAGGCACAUUUUUUUCCCUCAAAGGCAUCCACUUUUGUGCCUGCUGCUAUCUUUGACCUUGCUUUUCCACUCUUUAUGACGGUACCUAACCCAAGAGUUUGCCUUUGGGCAUGUUCAGUCUGGGCUCUAAGCUGGUUUUUUCCAUUGGCUAGAUGUUUCCGGUUGGUGAGUAAAUUAUUUAUUUGUCAAAUCAGUCACCUAGUAAAGCAGCCCUUGCUUUCCAAGACUGAUGACUCUACACUGCCUGAUAGUACCCAGGGAUUCCAACUCCUGCCAAAACAAAGAGUGGUUCAGGAGUUAAGGGAAUUUGCCAAGUCCUAUCAGACCUAGCUCCAAAAUAUAUCUCCAGUACAUCUCCUUAUUGCAGGUCUAUGCAGCCACAAUUAUACUUGGACAGACCUACUUUCUCUGAAUUGUUGUAAUAGCAUCUCAGCUGGCCUCCCAGUUCCACCUUGAUCCCCUCCAAGCCUUUCUCUACUCAGAAGCCAUAGACACUGUACUAGUUUCCUGCUGCUGCUAUAGCAAAUUGCUGCAAACUUAGUGGCUUAACACAACAUAAAUUUAUUCUCUUAUAGUUCUGGAAGUCAGAAGUCUGAAAUCAUUUUCAAUGGGCUAAACUUAGGGUGGUGGCAGGGUUUUAAUCCUUCUAGAGGCUCCAGAGGAGAAUCUGUUUCCUUGCCUUUUCCAGCUUUAGAGGCUGCUUGCAUUCCUAGGCUGGAGGCCCCACAUCACUCCAACCUCUGCUUCCUUUGUCACAUCUCCUUUUCCUACCCUCAUGCCUCCCUCUUAAAGAGAGCCUUAUGAUGACAUUGGGCCUCCCUGGAUAGUCCAGGGUAAUCUCCCCAUCUCAAGACCCUGAAUUCAAUCACAUUCACAAAGCCCCUUUUGCCAUGUAAGGUAAUAUAUUCACAGGUUCUGGGGAUUCAGAUGAGGACAUCUUUGGCAGGGGUGAGGGGACAUUAUUCUGCCUACCAUGGGCAUUAUGCCACUCACUUGGUUAAGAUCCAUCCAUGACUUCCCAGUGCAUGUAAAAUACAAUCCACACUCUAGCACAUGGCUUGAGAGACCCUGCCCACUUCUCCAGCCAUUUCUCAAACCAGCCUCUCCCUGCUUUUGUCACAGUGGCCUGUGCCUGCUUUCUGAAAACCUCAGCCCUUCUCCUUUGGAGAGUCACAGUGGCUGUCGCUGUCUCUGGCUGGGUUGUUCUUGUUCUGGCGCCUCAUAUGGUUGUUCAUUCUCUUACUUUGUUUCUUUGGCCAAAUGUCACAUCCUCCGAGAGACCUUUCCUGGGAAACCCUGUUUGAAGGAGCCCUCACCCUGGUCACUUAUAUCCCAGCACUUCACAGCACAUAUCAUACUCCAUUGUAAGAUCAUUUAUGUAUUUGGUAUCCCUCUCACUAAAGUGUAAGCUCAAUGGGAACAGGCACCAUUUUGUUUUGUUUAUCAACAGUAUCCCCAAUGCUGACCAUGAUGCCUGGCAAAUAUUUGGCAUCCAACAAAUACCUUUCCAUUGAAAAAGAUAGCAUGAGGAUCCUAGGGAGAAGGUCAACAUAAAGCAUCUCUCUCCCCUUUAUAUGCUGUUGCUUUUUCCAUUCAAAUUUGGUCCACAAUAAUCAUAACUAUGUAAGAUUGGCAGGUGUAUAGCAGGAGAGUUUCCAGUUAUGCAGUCCACUGUUUGUUGUAAGGAAGGAAUCUUACAUUAAUUGUGUGGUUCUUGGUAAUUGAGCUAGGACCUUAUAUUACUUAAUCCUCAAAUACCCCCUGUAUCAAGCAUUCUGGGUCCCACUUAACAGAAGAAGAAACUCAUAUUAAGUAACUUGCCUAAAUUUACAAGACUAGUGAGUAUUAGAAUGGAAUCUGUAUACAACUUGUCUGACACCAAAUCCAGUACCAUUCCUGUUGUACAUACAUGCACAUUACAGAUAGUGUAACCAAGAGGAAAGAGCUCGGACCGUGGACCUAGACUUAAAUUCUGACCAUGUCACUAAGUAAUUGUGUGACCUUGAGGAAGUACCUUAGUCUUGCUGAAAUUCAACUUCCAUAUCUCAUAUUGUUGUUAUGAAGAGUAAAUGAAAUAAGAUAUGCCAAGUAUCUAGCACAAUGCCUGGUAGUAAAGCAAAUACUCAGCACAUGCUAGGUCUAAAAUAUUAUUAAUAGAAACUUGCUACUCAAGAAGAGAGGCAUUUUUGCUUCUUUGCUUCCCUCUAAUUUAACAGAAACUUGAGUGAGAAAACUGGAAAGAAGCGCCCCUGGUUAAUAGUCUGCCAUAUUUUCAUCACUACUUCUUCCUGUCACAAAUGUUCUCAAGCUCAAACUCACUGAAACAGGUUUCCCCAUCAGUAAUGAAUAUUUUCUAACUCACUCAAAAUCUGCAGGAAAGAGUCAAAAUUUAUCAAUGCUGAAAUGCCGUUCUUUGGGGCAAUGCUCUAUUGGGACAUUGGAAGCUGAAGAAGGAGAAAUCUUCCAAGUGGGUGAGAGAAUAGGUCCUGAGACCCAGCAGUUGUACUUUCUCUUAAGAUUGUCUUUCUAGUGGAAUAUUUCCAAAAUGCUACAAUUUUCCUAUCCCACCAGGAUGGUUAAUAAAGCAUAUAUCUUAAGCUCCCCUGCUAACAAUUUUUUUCCAGCUAAUGCUUCAUGCUGCCUUGUUUAAAAGACAAAUCCGUAAAAAACGUAAAUAUGAGUAUGUCGUACCCUUGCUUAAAGCCUCCAAUGAGUCCUCUUAACUUUCAGACUAAAGCCCACACGCCUUUCACUGUUUAAUAAGUUCUAUCAUUUCACUCCGAUCUACCCUUCAGAUCUCCAUUGACUACUCCCCAUCCAUUACGACCGCCCUGAUAACACUCUCCACUUCAUGGAGAAGGUGCUGUUAGUCACUCUUCAUUCUUACACUAGGAGUUAACUGCAUGUUUACAUUCAAAAGAGGACCAUGAAUGAAAUUUAUUCUUGCUUCCCUUACAGAUCAGAAGAGAGUUCCUAAUGUGGUCUAGAUCUCACUAGCCCAAGAUUUGGAUUGACCAAAUCUAUGGGUAGUAAAUAUCUUUGCAGGCAGCUAGGAUGGUGUAGAGAAUGCCAGCAAAAACAAAAAGUUUCAAAACCUGUAUUUAAAGUGUCAAUUUAUUGAUUGACAACUAAAUAGCUAGUCUGUCCCCAUGGAAAGUUCAGUCAUUUUUUUGAACAAGAGUCAGCAAUGAUAUUUCAGCUUUCCCGUGUGGAAAUGUCCUAAGAGAUGCCCGAGAUGUCUAAGUCCCAGAUGUUCAUGUCUCUGUUCUUUCAUUUCAAUUGAGCUAAAAUUUUUUGGAUACCUACAAUGUGUAGGUACUUUCUUAAAGACAAGGACACACAGAGUGUGGAGGUGGAAUAAAUUAAUUAUGACCUAGAGAUACUGAGAAGGUCUAAUGAAGGAGAAUAUAUCUUGGCAUCUGUAGAUAUUGGAGGGUACGAGAGCCAAGCAGAAGGAACACUGUGAGGAAUGACCCAGGAGAUGGAGGGAAAGGGUGUCCUGGGGUAGCAGCAACUGGAUGGAGCAGAGUAAGCAUUGAGGAAUGCUAAGGGGUGGGGGUGAGGGGUAAGCCAGGGAGUUGGACUCACAUUGUGGAGACUCUCAAUGCCAGGCUGAGGAGCUGGACUUUGCUCUGUAUAGCAGAAAAUUACGGAAACUUUUUGAACAGAGAAGUGACACAAUCUCCCAUUACUUAUAAUAAAUACAGAGAAGAAUUAGGGGCAUAUUUAAGAUGCAUCGAGUAUUUACCAUCUGUGUUCCUGAACGAACACAUCUCCUUAUUUCUUUCUGAGAAAGUCCUGUCAGCUCAAAAGAGUGUGUUCCUGAACAAAUACAAGAAAAAAGGAUUGUGUUAUCGGAAAGGCUACACUUUGCUCUUUUAUGUUCCACAGAGUUUACAAGAAUGUCAACAGAAUGAUUGCGCAUGGUUAAGAUUAAUAAUUUAGAUGGAAAGUUUACAGGAACCAGAACAAAGGAAAAACUAUUUUAAAAAUGCAACUGUGUUCUAGCCAAAAAAUGGCAUUAUGGUAAAUUUAUAAUCGCUUUCAAAAUCAGAGCUUAGGAUGAAAUAAAGUCGUAUUUCAUGGUUUUUUAGGAGCACUCUCACCUUUGAGUCUACGUUGAAUUCUAGGUCAGCCAAUUAGUAGCCAAGUGAGCUUGGGGAAUAUGCCUGCUUUUCCAAGCCUCAGUUUUCUCAUCUGUAAAUGGGUAUAAUAAUGUUAACCACCUCAGUGGGUUGUUGAAAUAAAAGUUUGUUAAGUGCUUAGCAGAGU